CCUACGGGGGGCUGCAGUGGGGAAUAUUGGACAAUGGGGGCAACCCUGAUCCAGCCAUGCCGCGUGUGUGAAGAAGGCCCUCGGGUUGUAAAGCACUUUCAGUGAGGAAGAACGCCUGGUGGUUAAUACCCAUCAGGAAAGACAUCACUCACAGAAGAAGCACUGGCUAACUCCGUGCCAGCAGCCGCGGUAAUACGGAGGGUGCGAGCGUUAAUCGGAAUUACUGGGCGUAAAGCGCGCGUAGGUGGCUUGAUAAGCCGGUUGUGAAAGCCCCGGGCUCAACCUGGGAACGGCAUCCGGAACUGUCAAGCUAGAGUGCAGGAGAGGAAGGUAGAAUUCCCGGUGUAGCGGUGAAAUGCGUAGAGAUCGGGAGGAAUACCAGUGGCGAAGGCGGCCUUCUGGACUGACACUGACACUGAGGUGCGAAAGCGUGGGUAGCAAACAGGAUUAGAUACCCCGGUAGUC
rnacentral:rRNA from 1 species